GCGCUCUCUCUCAAAAAUAAAAUAAACAUUAAAAAAAAAGUAUGGAGAAAAUACAGAAUGUCAGUCAUGAGGUUGGAGGCAUGGGGGCCCACAACGAGGUGAUGCUGAGAAGGUCAGAGAGACAGUGGUAGCCUCUCUAUGAUUAAAAACAGCAAGAGUAUGGGGUCCCUGGGUAGCUCAGUCAUUAGGCAUCUGACUUCAGCUCAAGUUAUGAUACAGUUCAUGAGUUCGAGUCCCACAUCCAGUGAGCUCAAGCCCUGCUUCUGGAGAGCUCGUGACCCACUUCUGGUGAACCCGAGCCUCAGGGGAGCGAUGGGCCAGGCGGCUGUCACUUUCAAAAGAAGUCUUCUGACCUUUCACUACGGCCAGUGAGGGGGAGGACCAGCAGUCACAGCACCUGGAUGCUUGUCAGGAUGCAAACCUCAGGAUUUACCCAAAUAUCUGAGCUAGGGCCUGCACCUCAAUGGAGCCCAGGUUCAGGCAUCUGCCACCACAGUCAAGAGACAGAACAGCAUCAGCACUUCAGGAUCCUCUCGUUGCCCUUUUUAAUCUCACCCACCACUGUCCUCCCAACCCCUGGCAAUAACUAAUGUAUUCUUUAUCUCCAUACAUUUUUAAUUUUAAGAAUGUUAUGUAAAUGGAAUGCUAUAGUCCAUAACUUUUUGUUAUUGGCUUUUCUUUUCAUUCAGUAUAAUUUCCUUGAAAUCCAUCAAAGUUGUUACAUGUGUCAACAGUUAAUUUUUUAGGGCUGUACCACAGUUUGUUAACCAUGGCUCUGCGCUGACAGGUGAGAGUUGAAGGCUGCUUUGGAUUCUGUGUGUCUCUCUCUCUGCCUCCCCCACUCAUGUUCUGUCUCUGUCUCUGUUUCUCUCUCAAAAAUAAAUAAACAUUAAGAACAAACCGUGUGUUAACUAACCAUUUACCUACAGAAGGACAUCUAAGUUGUUUCCAGUGUGCAGGCUAUUAUGAAUAAAGCUGCUGUGAACAUUUUUGUAGGUUCAUGUGUAAACUAAGUUUUGUUUCUCUGAGAUAAAUGUGCAAGGGGGCACAUGUGUUGGGUCAUAUGUAAACCCAGGUUUUGCUUUGUUAGAAAUUGCCAAACCUUUAUUUCCAGAGUAAUUGUACUGUUUUACAUUCCCAUCAGAAAGGUUAGAAAAUGUUCACAGUAUAUUCCCUCCACC